UGCGGCGUAGCUCAAUGGCGGAGCUUUCGGCUUAUAUCCGAACGGUUGUGGGUUCAAGUCCCACCGCCCCAA
rnacentral:tRNA from 1 species